GACGAACGCUGGCGGCGUGCCUAACACAUGCAAGUCGAACGGAACUAUUUUGAAAGAUUUCUUCGGAAUGAAUUUGAUUUAGUUUAGUGGCGGACGGGUGAGUAACGCGUGAGUAACCUGCCUCCGAGAGGGGAAUAACAAUCUGAAAAGAUUGCUAAUACCGCAUAACAUAUCGUUAUCGCAUGGUGAUGAUAUCAAAGAUUUAUCGCUCGGAGAUGGACUCGCGUCCGAUUAGCUAGUUGGUGGGGUAACGGCCUACCAAGGCGACGAUCGGUAGCCGGACUGAGAGGUUGAACGGCCACAUUGGGACUGAGACACGGCCCAGACUCCUACGGGAGGCAGCAGUGGGGGAUAUUGCGCAAUGGGGGCAACCCUGACGCAGCAACGCCGCGUGAAGGAUGAAGGUUUUCGGAUUGUAAACUCUUUAUUAAGGACGAAAAUUGACGGUACUUAAUGAAUAGCUCCGGCUAACUACGUG
rnacentral:rRNA from 1 species